UACAGAGGGGGCAAGCGUUGUUCGGAAUUACUGGGCGUAAAGGGCGCGUAGGCGGCCUUCUAAGUCGAACGUGAAAUCCCCGGGCUCAACCCGGGAACUGCGUCCGAGACUGAAAGGCUUGAAUCCGGGAGAGGGAUGUGGAAUUCCAGGUGUAGCGGUGAAAUGCGUAGAUAUCUGGAGGAACACCAGAGGCGAAGGCGGCCUACUGGGCCAGUACUGACGCUGAGCCGCGAAAGCCAGGGGAGCGAACGGG
rnacentral:rRNA from 1 species